CUAUAUAUAUAUAUAUAUAUAUAUAGUUGAGCUAGAAUACUCUCAAAAGCACCAAUGAGAUGGUGCUUUUGAGUUUUUAACGAUUAGAUGAAGGAAUGCAAGGUUGUAAUGAUGGUGGUAGGUGGUGGUAGGUGGAAUAGUGUUGAUCCAAAGGCUAUUAGUAAUGAAGGAGUAGAUUCAAGGGCUAGAAACCUAAAAGCACCAAUGAGGUGAUACUUUAAAAAGUAUUCUAGCUCAAUUUUAUAUAUAUAUAUAUAUAUAUCUGGUAUGCUUCUGGAAGCAUGGAACACUUCGUGCUUCAAAGUCGUUUUCGAUGUUGGGACUUUCGAAUCGACGAUCAGCUCCGUUAGACUUGAUCUAGAGUAUUUUAAGUAUCUAGAAAUAAAUUUUGCGAUUUUUUUAUAUCAUUUGCCUAGUGAUCGAAGUGGCUCAAAAUCAACGGCUGAAAAUAAAAAUCUUACAAAAUAUGAUGAUAUGACAUUAAAAUUUUAGAUCAAAAAUAUUGAUCUUGUUUUAUAUAGUAUAAAGAAUUUUAUAUCAAAAUUUUAUGUGAUUUGGAUAUUUCUACACCGUUAAACUUGCAAACGGCUCACCACGGUCAUUAAAACUAUUGAUUUUGAACCCCUUCGAUUACUAGGCAAAUGAUAUCGAAAAAUCACAAAAUUUAUUUUCUAGAUACUUCAAGUACUCUAGAUCAAGUUUAACGAAGCCGAUCGUCGAUUCGAAAGUCUCAAUAUCGAAAACAACUUAGAAGCAUGGAUGGCUCCGUGCUUCCAGAAGCAUACCAGCUCACUCUCUCUAUAUAUAUAUAUAGUCUGUUAUCGAGUUUUUUGCGUUAGAUUUAACCAUUUGACUAUUUUUACCUGUUAGAUUAUACUAUUCAACUAAUAACUCACUUAACCCUAGAGGGCCCCCACAUCAUCCUAACCGUACAUUUUUUUAUUCAAGAACUGAAAAUCUAAUAGCACCAAGUGCUUGGUGCUAUUGAUAGUAUAUAUAUAUAUAUAAUAUAUUAUAUAUAUAUAUAUAUAUAUAUAUAUAGUCCGGCUACUAUACUAUUGAUAGUAUUGAUACUAUUGAGUUUUCUAUCGUUAGAUCUACCCUUUCAUCAUUUCCACCCGUUAGAUUAUACUAUUAAACCAACCACCCGCUCAACCCUAGGGGACCACUAUCAUCCUAACCGCACAUCCUUUCAUCCAACGGCCAAAAACUCAAUAGUACCAAGGGCUUGGUACUAUUGAUAGUAUAGUAGCAUAAAUCAUAUAUAUAUAUAUUACAAUUUGAAUUUGAGGCCAAUGCAAAUAUAAAGAGACCUAUAUUUUGUAAAUUUUAGUUAUUAGAUUAAGAUUUUAAUUCAAUUUGUGCUCAGCUCAUUAAUAAAUAAGCCGAACACGAACAGAAUUUUUCAGCUCAAUAUUUUAACGAAACAGCUUGUGUUUCAGCUAGUUAAUUAAAUGAGCCGAACAUGAGCUGGUCCAGCUUG
rnacentral:lncRNA from 1 species